GGCAUAGUUCAGUGGGAGAGCCCCUGCCUUGCAUGAAGAAGGUCCUAGGUUUAAUCUCCCUGGUAUCUCCA